rnacentral:lncRNA from 1 species
GUUAAAUCACUGCCCAUAUGCUGGACACUGGAGGUCACAAAAUCUCCUAAAACUUUUGGCAACAAGAAACCUAGAGUUUUUUUGGUAUUGCGGGGGAGGCAUAAAAGAACUAAUCUAUGUCUCCUCAUUUAAGGAAUACAUCUACUGAAGCAGUCUACUCCUGCCACCAAAGUAUAAAAGCUGGACAAACAACAUAACGGAAAUCAUUUGAAGGCAUUUGAAAGUGACCACCAUUCAUAGUUCUUUAAGGGUUAUAAACCCUGAGAGAUAAAAGGAAUCAGUAG